rnacentral:rRNA from 1 species
AAUGAACGCUGGCGGCGUGCCUAACACAUGCAAGUCGAGCGGUAACAGGCCUUCGGGUGCUGACGAGCGGCGCACGGGUGAGUAAUACGUGAAUAAUCUACCUUCAAGCCUGGGAUAACUACUCGAAAGGGUAGCUAAUACUGGAUAAGCUCACAGAGUCCUUGGAUUCAGUGAGAAAAGGCGGCCUCUGUAUAUGCUGUCACUAGAAGAUGAGUUCGCGCACCAUUAGCUAGUUGGUGAGGUAACGGCUCACCAAGGCUGCGAUGGUUAGCGGGUCUGAGAGGAUGAUCCGCCACACUGGAACUGAGACACGGUCCAG